GCGCACGGGUGAGUAACACGUAUCCAACCUGCCGAUGACUCGGGGAUAGCCUUUCGAAAGAAAGAUUAAUACCCGAUGGCAUAGUUCUUCCGCAUGGUGGAACUAUUAAAGAAUUUCGGUCAUCGAUGGGGAUGCGUUCCAUUAGGUUGUUGGCGGGGUAACGGCCCACCAAGCCUUCGAUGGAUAGGGGUUCUGAGAGGAAGGUCCCCCACAUUGGAACUGAGACACGGUCCAAACUCCUACGGGAGGCAGCAGUGAGGAAUAUUGGUCAAUGGACGAGAGUCUGAACCAGCCAAGUAGCGUGAAGGAUGACUGCCCUAUGGGUUGUAAACUUCUUUUAUACGGGAAUAAAGUGAGGCACGUGUGCCUUUUUGUAUGUACCGUAUGAAUAAGGAUCGGCUAACUCCGUGCCAGCAGCCGCGGUAAUACGGAGGAUCCGAGCGUUAUCCGGAUUUAUUGGGUUUAAAGGGAGCGUAGGCGGACGCUUAAGUCAGUUGUGAAAGUUUGCGGCUCAACCGUAAAAUUGCAGUUGAUACUGGGUGUCUUGAGUACAGUAGAGGCAGGCGGAAUUCGUGGUGUAGCGGUGAAAUGCUU
rnacentral:rRNA from 1 species